UCCUGGUCAGCUCAGUUGGUAGAGCGCUCCAGUGGAAACGGAGAGGUCUUUGGUUCGAUACCAAGACCAGGCG
rfam:Ixodes scapularis strain Wikel colony gcontig_1108378854656, whole genome shotgun sequence.